CUAAUAAAAAAUUCAAAGUGACUUCCUGUAACCUUGAUGAUGCUAUUCAACAUCAUUCCUAUGAUGCGUUUCUUAAAACUCUACAUUUCUGUAUAACAUUUUCUUCUUGCAUAUUUUCAAAAUUACUCGGGCUUAUUUUAGGUGCACCCUAUAUAUGCUGCUUGAAUGUAAAAACUAAAAUAUAUUAUUAAUAUUGGAAUGGAGGAAAGUAGGAUAUUCGAACGCAGCUUCCUAAUUUCUCCAAUUGGAAAUAGUCAAGUAAUAAAAAAUUAUUUCAUCUUACGAAAUAAACAAUAUGUCUUUAUAAUAAUUUUUAUGAUACUCCUUCAGUGUUCAAUUCCACUAAACGAAUUACACUGAUAAAAUUCAUACGCUAAAUCAAAGAUAUGUGUCCUAAAAUCAAUUAUAGAAAAUAUAAAUAAAACAUUACAUAUGACAUAAUAAUAUCGAAUAAGAAGAUAAUCGAUCUAAUUAAACUGAUAAAUUAAAUAAUUGAUCUAAAGAAACUCAUAGUCGAAACUAAAGAAUUGAUAGUCGAAAGGAGCACCAUUAUAUCCGUCUGAACGUUUCAUGUUCAGGGUCAAACGAGUACUGUUUCUUAUCAUCCAUGAGAAAUGUUUCGAUUUUGAUGAGGCGUUAUUACGAUACAUGCUCGCGAUGUAAUUCUCCGAACGCAAAAGUUUUAUUACAUCGUCCUAAAUACUUCAGUAACUAGAAUAUGCGUGACGCGCAUGAUGGUGUAUUAUCUUCUAGUUGAUUGGGGUGCUUCGUUGGACAGAAAAGUGAAUAAAUAAGUUAUGACCGUGAGAAAACAAACAUGUAACGCUCAUCGAUAGGAGGGUUCAUCGCUUUUAUUAUUUUGUGUUUUUUUUCCUUUGCUACCGUAACUAUAAGCGCUUAUAAAUGAUGUUGGUCGCAAUCAUCUUUAGGUAAAAUUGUUACUUCGCGAAACGGCAUGAUCUGUAGUCUGAAAAAAAGUUUGUGAAAACGUGCAACGUCCGUAAGUUGUUUAUUGUUUUCCAGCCGAAGAAAGUUAAUCCAGUGGAAAAAGGAAUUGACGAUACAGAUAUGUAGAGCACUUGGUACAUUAUUAAUGAAUCUUUAGCCGUUUUCAGUGAACAGUUGAAGUAUAGCUACUAAACGAGGAGGACGAACUCGGAGGACGGUCUCUGCGAAGAUUUUUCUGUAAUUGCAUCUGCAGUUUACGCAAAAUAUACGAGGAGUGAAUACUUACGUUGAGAUAAAGACAAUGGCAAACACUAUAAUAAUAAAAUCAAAUGGAAUCUUUGAACGAUAACCAUUUGCUUACGGAUAGCUAGGAGAUUGUUCUUUUUCGGAGCGAGAUUGUCAAAUCCUCGGUGGCGUUCAUAACUGCGUCCCAAUUGCAAUCAAAAAGUUUGUAACCACAUCCUAACUUCAAGUUGGAUACAAUACCAGAGCAAAUUUGAUACUGUGAUAGUGUGAAGACAGAUCGAUACAGCAACCGAUAUAAGUAAAGUUUGUUAAUAAUAAGUCGACAACAAAUUUGUACUAAAUGCACAGCAGAUGUCCCUGCAUAAAUUUCGGCAGGGUGACGACAUGUCUGCUAAACCUAAAGUUUAUAUUCACAGUUGUGAUUCUACCUAAGAAUCAGUUUGAAUUAUAUAGAUUUCAACAGGAUUUUGCACUGAGUUAACUACAUGUGUAUAAUUUCAUUUAGCUGGAUUAACACUGUUUCUCGAUUCGUUGAUGCAACAAUCUCUAAAAAUUAUUACCGCCAAAUGAUUUCUGUCGUCAAAAUGUGUAAAAGUAUUAAGAUAAGUCAGUCAAAAAGUGAAUUACUUGAUAUUUACUUAAUUACCUUGUGUUGAGAAAAAAAUAUCAAGGAACAAUAUGAAAUAUAAAGGUAAGAUCAAUCAACUAAGAGGAAUGAGUAGAAUAUCUAAUGUUUAUAAACUUUUUUGUAUUCGCCAUGAAUUACUAAAUGCAGCGCUUUAUACAAGUGUACAUGAAAAGUGUUGAAAUCUCAUAAUAUCUCGAAUAGACACAUUUUCAAAGAAAUAUUCCAUACAAAAGUUGUAGGAUUUUA